GGAAGACAGAGGUUUUCCCUGUACACACCUCUGCCUGCACCUGCUUCUUAAAGGAUGCUUCUCAGGCACUGUGACAUGGCAACAUGCCUUAUUAUCAUCAAUAUGAUGUAUAUUAUUGCUUGGGGCAUUUUACUGAUCAUGUGAAUACCAACCAUCCACAAGAGCCAUUCUACUGCAGAUGUGUAAGGUUUUAUGAACACCUGGGAUACUUAAUUAGCCAGCAGACACGAUUCUUCACAGUGCUGGAUCAUAGAGAAAUGGCCAUUUUGCACAGGGCCCUGCAAAGUGUGUGGCUGGCCCUGAUUCCAGGGACCAAAGAACGACCGUUCACCUUCCAUAUUUCACAGAUGCGUCCACGUAGACAUUCACACAUACGUGCAAAAGUGUGCAUGUGUGUCUAUGUAUUUGUGACAGACAAGAAAGAGAGAGAGAGAGAGCCUGCAUGACAUUCUUAACACCUGCUCUGCCACCCACUUUCCAGCUUCCUUUGGAAGUCAAGAACUGGGUUCUGAGACCUUCGGUCAGGUGAGCACUGUCCAGGGCUUAGCCAUGUGCAUGUGUGUAUAUGUAUGCAUGUAUGUAUACAUGUGUGUGUAU
rnacentral:lncRNA from 1 species